ACAGGAAGAGAAUUGGAAAUGCUGGAGAAGCUCUGGAAGCCCACAGAGAACAGAUGCAUAAACACCAUUUACCAGACACAGCUCAGCAAACCCUCUCUCUCUUCCUUCCAGCAGCUUGGUUGUCCUCAAGGAGUUCCUAAAUUUCAUACUUCUGAGGGUUAUAUGGGAUGGUGAGGGGUGGAGGAGAGUAGCACGGAUUGAAAAAUACAUUAAUGUUGGCUGGGCACAGUAGCUCACGCCUGUAAUCCCAGCACUUUGGGAGGCCGAGGCUGGUAUAUCACCUGAGGUCAGGAGUUUGAGACCAGCCUGGCCACAUGGCGAAACCCCAUCUCUACUAAAAAUACAAAAUUUAGCUGGGUGUGAUGGCACAUGCUUGUAAUCCCAGCUACUCAGGGGGCUGAGGCAGGAGAAUCGCUUGAACCCAGGAAGCAGAGGUUGCAGUGAACUGAGAUUGCAGCAUUGCACUCCAGCCUGGGCAACAAGAGAGAUGCUCCAUCUUAAAAAAAAAAAAGAAAGAAAAAUGCAUUAAAGUGUACCAAAAUAAAUAUAUGACA
rnacentral:antisense_RNA from 1 species